rnacentral:tRNA from 1 species
AGCAAUAUAGUGUAAUAGUUAACAUAUAAGAUUCAUGAUCUUAUGCUACAAGUUCAAAUCUUGUUGUUGCUA